GGCGGCGUGCUUAACACAUGCAAGUCGAACGGAAAGGCCCUGCUUUUGUGGGGUGCUCGAGUGGCGAACGGGUGAGUAACACGUGAGUAACCUGCCCUUGACUUUGGGAUAACUUCAGGAAACUGGGGCUAAUACCGGAUAGGAGCUCCUGCUGCAUGGUGGGGGUUGGAAAGUUUCGGCGGUUGGGGAUGGACUCGCGGCUUAUCAGCUUGUUGGUGGGGUAGUGGCUUACCAAGGCUUUGACGGGUAGCCGGCCUGAGAGGGUGACCGGCCACAUUGGGACUGAGAUACGGCCCAGACUCCUACGGGAGGCAGCAGUGGGGAAUAUUGCACAAUGGGCGGAAGCCUGAUGCAGCAACGCCGCGUGCGGGAUGACGGCCUUCGGGUUGUAAACCGCUUUCGCCUGUGACGAAGCGUGAGUGACGGUAAUGGGUAAAGAAGCACCGGCUAACUACGUGCCAGCAGCCGCGGUGAUACGUAGGGUGCGAGCGUUGUCCGGAUUUAUUGGGCGUAAAGGGCUCGUAGGUGGUUGAUCGCGUCGGAAGUGUAAUCUUGGGGCUUAACCCUGAGCGUGCUUUCGAUACGGGUUGACUUGAGGAAGGUAGGGGAGAAUGGAAUUCCUGGUGGAGCGGUGGAAUGCGCAGAUAUCAGGAGGAACACCAGUGGCGAAGGCGGUUCUCUGGGCCUUUCCUGACGCUGAGGAGCGAAAGCGUGGGGAGCGAACAGGCUUAGAUACCCUGGUAGUCCACGCUGUAAACGGUGGGUACUAGGUGUGGGGUCCAUUCCACGGGUUCCGUGCCGUAGCUAACGCUUUAAGUACCCCGCCUGGGGAGUACGGCCGCAAGGCUAAAACUCAAAGGAAUUGACGGGGCCCCGCACAAGCGGCGGAGCAUGCGGAUUAAUUCGAUGCAACGCGUAGAACCUUACCUGGGUUUGACAUGGAUCGGGAGUGCUCAGAGAUGGGUGUGCCUCUUUUGGGGUCGGUUCACAGGUGGUGCAUGGCUGUCGUCAGCUCGUGUCGUGAGAUGUUGGGUUAAGUCCCGCAACGAGCGCAACCCUUGUUCACUGUUGCCAGCACGUUAUGGUGGGGACUCAGUGGAGACCGCCGGGGUCAACUCGGAGGAAGGUGGGGAUGACGUCAAGUCAUCAUGCCCCUUAUGUCCAGGGCUUCACGCAUGCUACAAUGGCUGGUACAGAGAGUGGCGAGCCUGUGAGGGUGAGCGAAUCUCGGAAAGCCGGUCUCAGUUCGGAUUGGGGUCUGCAACUCGACCUCAUGAAGUCGGAGUCGCUAGUAAUCGCAGAUCAGCAACGCUGCGGUGAAUACGUUCCCGGGGCUUGUACACACCGCCCGUCAAGUCAUGAAAGUUGGUAACACCCGAAGCCGGUGGCCUAACCGAUGUGGGGGAGCCGUCGAAGGUGGGACUGGUGAUUAGGACUAAA
rnacentral:rRNA from 1 species